rnacentral:rRNA from 1 species
AUUGAACGCUGGCGGAAUGCUUUACACAAGCAAGUCGAACGGUAGAGGGGGCAACCCCUCGAGAGUGGCGAACGGGUGAGUAAUAUAUCGGAACGUGCCCAGUCGUGGGGGAUAACGUAGCGAAAGUUACGCUAAUACCGCAUACGAUCUAAGGAUGAAAGCGGGGGAACGCAAACCAUCGCGCCAUUCGAGCGCCCGAUAUCAGAUUAGGUAGUUGGUGGGGUAAAGGCUCACCAAGCCAACGAUCUGUAGCUGGUCUGAGAGGACGGCCAGCCACACUGGAACUGAGACACGGUCCAGACUCCUACGGGAGGCAGCAGUGGGGAAUUUUGGACAAUGGACGCAAGUCUGGUCCAGCCAUUCCGCGUGCAGGAUGAAGGCCCUCGGGUUGUAAACUGCUUUUGUACGGAACGAAAAGGUCUCUCUUAAUACGGGGGACUCAUGACGGUACCGUAAGAAUAAGCACCGGCUAACUACGUGCCAGCAGCCGCCGUAA